GAGUUUGAUCCUGGCUCAGGAUGAACGCUGGCGGCGUGCCUAACACAUGCAAGUCGAACGGACCUUCGGGUCAGUGGCGGACGGGUGAGUAACACGUAGCUAACCUGCCCUCAAGCGCGGGAUAACGGUGCGAAAGCGCUGCUAAUACCGCAUAAGCUCACGAGUUGUAGAGGCUAGUGAGAAAAGCGUAUACGCUUGAGGAGGGGGCUGCGACCCAUCAGGUAGAUGGUGCGGUAACGGCGCACCAUGCCGACGACGGGUAGGGGGCCUGAGAGGGUGAUCCCCCACACUGGGACUGAGACACGGCCCAGACUCCUACGGGAGGCAGCAGUGAGGAAUAUUGGUCAAUGGGGGCAACCCUGAACCAGCAACGCCGCGUGGGUGAAGAAGGCUUUCGGGUCGUAAAGCCCUUUUGUAGGUGACGAGGAAGGACGGUAGCCUACGAAUAAGUGUCGGCUAACUACGUGCCAGCAGCCGCGGUAAAACGUAGGACACAAGCGUUAUCCGGAAUUACUGGGCGUAAAGCGCCAGCAGGCGGCGAUGUAAGUCAAUGAUGAAAACGCACGGCUCAACCGGGCGCGGUUCAAUGAUACUGCAUUGCUAGAGGGAGAUAGAGGCGAGUGGAAUUCCGCGUGUAGUGGUGAAAUGCGUAGAGAUGCGGAGGAACACCAGUGGCGAAGGCGGCUCGCUGGGUCUCACCUGACGCUGAGAGGCGAAAGCAUGGGGAGCGAACGGGAUUAGAAACCCCGGUAGUCCAUGCCGUAAACGAUGUACGCUAGAUGUGGGGAAGUCGAAAGACUUUUCUGUGUCGAAGCUAACGCGAUAAGCGUACCGCCUGGGGAGUACGGUCGCAAGGCUAAAACUCAAAGGAAUUGACGGGGGCCCGCACAAGCAGCGGAGCGUGUGGUUUAAUUCGAGGCUACGCGAAAAACCUUACCUGGGUUUGACAUGGCAUCGCACGAGGUUGAAAGACUGAGGGUCCUUCGGGACGGUGUCACAGGUGCUGCAUGGCUGUCGUCAGCUCGUGUCGUGAGAUGUUCGGUUAAGUCCGAAAACGAGCGCAACCCCCGGCGUGUGUUACACGUGUCACGCGCUACUGCCGGCGGCAAGCCGGAGGAAGGUGGGGAUGAUGUCAAGUCAGCAUGGCCUAUAUAUCCAGGGCGACACACACGCUACAAUGGGCGGUACAAUGGGACGCGAAGUUGCGAGAUGGAGCCAAUCCUACCAAAGCCGUUCGUAGUUCGGAUUGCAGGCUGCAACCCGCCUGCAUGAAGUUGGAGUUGCUAGUAACCGCGCAUCAGCAUGGUGCGGUGAAUACGUUCCCGGGCCUUGUACACACCGCCCGUCACGUCAUGGGAGUUGGUCAUGCCUGAAGUCGGGAAGGUAACCGCAAGGAGCCUACCGCCGAAGGCAGGGCGGAUGACUGGGACGAAGUCGUAACAAGGUAACC
rnacentral:rRNA from 1 species